rnacentral:rRNA from 1 species
UACGUAGGUGGCAAGCGUUAUCCGGAAUUACUGGGCGUAAAGCGCACGCAGGCGGUCUCUUAAGUUUGACGUGAAGGCUCCCGGCUUAACUGGGAGAGGUCGUUGAAGACUGGGAGACUUGAGGCAAUGAGAGGGGUGUAGAAUUCCCGGUGUAGUGGUGGAAUGCGUAGAUAUCGGGGGGAAUACCAGUGGCGAAAGCGGCACCCUAGCGUUAGCCUGACGCUCAUGUGCGAAAGCGUGGGGAGCGAUCCGG